UAGCGUUGCUCGGAAUCACUGGGCGUAAAGCGCACGUAGGCGGCUUUUUAAGUCAGGGGUGAAAUCCUGGAGCUCAACUCCAGAACUGCCUUUGAUACUGAGAAGCUUGAGUCCGGGAGAGGUGAGUGGAACUGCGAGUGUAGAGGUGAAAUUCGUAGAUAUUCGCAAGAACACCAGUGGCGAAGGCGGCUCACUGGCCCGGUACUGACGCUGAGGUGCGAAAGCGUGGGGAGCAAACAGG
rnacentral:rRNA from 1 species